AAAUAAUAAUAAACCUCGGUUACCGGGCUGAACGAGAAUAUUAUUAUCAAGAUCUUGUAUUAUUAUAUCAACAAUUGAUUACAAAUACGAUACUACGAUAGUGUUAUGGUUAUCCACGGUCUUAGAAGAUCUUCUAAGACCGUGGAUAUUUAUUUUAUAUAAGGUGUAUUGAUAUAUAAUAUUAUAUAUAUGAUAUAUAUAUAUCAAUACACCUUGAUAUCUAUAAACCUUGAAUGUUAUCAGUCCUAUGCAACUCGAUGAAAUUAACAUGAAAUCACCACUCACCAGCGCUUAAUUUUUAACUUUUAUUCAUGAAAAUCAAUUUUCUCGGCUUCUAAAUUGGAUUCAAAAGAGUUCCAAUCAGUCCAUAGAAUAUUGAAGUAUUUAUUUAAUCAUAAAUUUGAAAAUGAUAGAUUAUGAUUUACUUUGAGUACUUAAUUAAACACUAACACAAACACUGAAUACAAUUUGCACACGUCUAAACUGUAAAUUAUUUUAUAAUGUUGGUACAUUAGAAACAUUAUUUAUCCAGAGGGAUUGGUGAAAAAGGCAGAAUUAAUCCAUCACAAUCAAUAUAGUGUUUUGGCGAUUCAAUUUGAUGGUAUUGAAAAUUUCAUUUUCUCGCAGUCUAAUUGACUGUACAUUAUUGAUAGUAUUUUAAUUAUUUAUUUAACAAUAAUAAGCCAUUAUUUUUAUUGUACAGUAUAUUUAUUUACCUUAAAUUAAAUUUAUUCAGAUUAUUUUAAAUAUUGGUGGCUAGAGCCUAAAAGCAUAUGCUUUUAUUAUGCAUCGUAUGGUGCCACGAUCUUAUACAGAUAGUUAUUUAAUUAGACCUUAUUAUAUUAUUCGACCGCGACAUACUCUCAUCAUAGACGUAGUGAGCAUGGAACAGCCGGCCAAGGCUUGGCAGUUGGCACAACCGGAAUCUUUUUAAGGAUAUAUUAAAAUUUCAAAUUUGUGUAUAUUAUAUUUAAUUAUAACAAUAUAUUCGUGAGGAUCAUGACAAUUGUAUUCGUUGUAAUAGUGAAAUAAAAUUAUAAAUAUUUGUGUACCACUUACAUUUUAUUGAUUUAUUCAUAAUAUUCAUUUAUAACGAAAAUUCAUAAAAGUAUUUGUA